GUAGGGAAUAUUGCGCAAUGGACGAAAGUCUGACGCAGCAACGCCGCGUGAGCGAUGAAGGUCUUCGGAUCGUAAAGCUCUGUCAGAGGGGACGAACCGCCCCGUGCCGAACAGGCCCGGGGUCUGACGGUACCCUCAGAGGAAGCACCGGCCAACUCCGUGCCAGCAGCCGCGGUAAUACGGAGGGUGCAAGCGUUGUUCGGAUUUACUGGGCGUAAAGGGCGUGUAGGCGGAUCGGCAAGUCCUGUGUGCAAUCUUCCGGCUCAACCGGGAAACUGCAUGGGAAACUAUCGAUCUUGAGUGCGAGAGAGGAUGGCGGAAUUCCUGGUGUAGCGGUGAAAUGCGUAGAUAUCAGGAGGAACACCGGUGGCGAAGGCGGCCAUCUGGCUCGACACUGACGCUGAGACGCGAAGGCCGGGGGAGCAAACAGGAUUAGAAACCCCGGUAGUCC
rnacentral:rRNA from 1 species